UACGGAGGGGGCUAGCGUUGUUCGGAAUUACUGGGCGUAAAGCGCACGUAGGCGGAUCAGCAAGUUAGGGGUGAAAUCCCGGGGCUCAACCCCGGAACUGCCUUUAAAACUGUUGGUCUGGAGUCCGAGAGAGGUGAGUGGAAUUCCGAGUGUAGAGGUGAAAUUCGUAGAUAUUCGGAGGAACACCAGUGGCGAAGGCGGCUCACUGGCUCGGUACUGACGCUGAGGUGCGAAAGCGUGGGGAGCAAACAGGG
rnacentral:rRNA from 1 species